GCUGGGCGUGGUGGCACACACCUGUAAUCUCAGUGGCUCGGGAGGCUGAGACAGGAGGAACGUGAGUUCAAAGCCAGCCUCAAAUGGUGAGGAGCUAAGCAACUCAGUGAGACCCUGUCUCUA
rnacentral:sRNA from 1 species